UCCAUCCUUCGGGGCGGGGUGAAAUUCCCCACUGGCGGUAAAAGCCCGCGAGCAAAAGCCUUUCUGGCUUUUGCAGAACCGGUGGAAUUCCGGUGCCAACGGUUACAGUCCGGAUGGGAGAAGGAAUGG
rnacentral:ncRNA from 23 species